AAAUCUUGACAUCCUCUGACAGCCCUAGAGAUAGGGUUUCCCUUCGGGGCAGAGUGACAGGUGGUGCAUGGUUGUCGUCAGCUCGUGUCGUGAGAUGUUGGGUUAAGUCCCGCAACGAGCGCAACCCUUAAGUUUAGUUGCCAUCAUUAAGUUGGGCACUCUAGACUGACUGCCGGUGACAAACCGGAGGAAGGUGGGGACGACGUCAAAUCAUCAUGCCCCUUAUGAUUUGGGCUACACACGUGCUACAAUGGACAGGUUACAAAGGGCAGCGACGCCGCGAGGCCAAGCGAAUCCCAUAAAACUGUUCUCAGUUCGGAUUGGAGUCUGCAACUCGACUCCAUGAAGCUGGAAUCGCUAGUAAUCGUAGAUCAGCAUGCUACGGUGAAUACGUUCCCGGGUC
rnacentral:rRNA from 1 species